GUGGGCUAUGGGGAUAUGGCGCCUGCCACAAUGGGUGGCAAGAUAGUGGGCUCCCUCUGUGCCAUUGCGGGCGUCCUCACCAUCUCCCUGCCUGUACCUGUCAUCGUCUCCAAC
rfam:Monodelphis domestica chromosome 4, whole genome shotgun sequence.